rnacentral:rRNA from 1 species
GAUGAACGCUGGCGGCGUGCCUAAUACAUGCAAGUCGAGCGAACGGACGAGAAGCUUGCUUCUCUGAUGUUAGCGGCGGAAGGGUGAGUAACACGUGGAUAACCGACCUAUAAGACUGGGAUAACUUCGGGAAACCGGAGCUAAAACCGGUUAAUAUUUUGAACCGCAUGGUUCAAAAGUGAAAGACGGUCUUGCUGUCACUUAUAGAUGGAUCCGCGCUGCAUUAGCUAGUUGGUAAGGUAACGGCUUACCAAGGCAACGAUGCAUAGCCGACCUGAGAGGGUGAUCGGCCACACUGGAACUGAGACACGGUCCAGACUCCUACGGGAGGCAGCAGUAGGGAAUCUUCCGCAAUGGGCGAAAGCCUGACGGAGCAACGCCGCGUGAGUGAUGAAGGUCUUCGGAUCGUAAAACUCUGUUAUUAGGGAAGAACAUAUGUGUAAGUAACUGUGCACAUCUUGACGGUACCUAAUCAGAAAGCCACGGCUAACUACGUG